rnacentral:ncRNA from 1 species
AAGGAAAUAUUAUACUCUGGAUAUAUUAGCAUGGAAUAAUGUGUUGGAAAUAUAGUGUUAUGAUCUUGGCCUUAGUGCCUAGAUCAAAGUAAUGAUUAAUAAGGACUAUCCAUGCCAUUAGUAUUUCAUCAUAAAAGGUAAAAUUCUUGAAUUAUGAAAGAUGGACUACUACUAAAUCAUUUACCAAGGAGGUUUUCAUCAAUUAAGAAUGAAAUUUGUGGACUUGAAGAUGAUCAUAUAUCAUCCCAGUCUCAACCAUAAAUGAUACCAACUAAGAAUCAAUGAAAUUUUCUCUAAGCACUCAACCAACACUUUAUCAAAAAUCAAAGUGUUUUUGUUGUGGGGAGAGUAUGAUCGAAA